rnacentral:rRNA from 1 species
AGGGUGUAAACGCUGCAGACUUGGUGUUGGAAGCCCUUUGGGGGCAUUCAGUGCCGGAGAGAAGUUGUUAAGUCUGCUACUUGGGGAGUACGUCCGCAAGGAUGAAACUUAAAGGAAUUGGCGGGGAGCACCGCAACGGGAGGAGCGUGCGGUUUAAUUGGAUUCAACACCGUAAAACUCACCAGGGAAGACCGUUACAUGAAGGCCGAGAUGAAGACUCUGCUAGAUUUUCAGAGAGGUGGUGCAUGGCGUCAGUGACU